UCCUGCCUUUUAUUUCGCCUUCUAUGUUCCAUUUGAUAUCGCUUGGAUAUUGUAAAACAUAUGUACAAAAUGUGCAUAACUGAAGAACGAAUUUUGUAUUAUGUUUGUCCGUGAACUCUCCCCACUCCUUUAUAUCAUAAAUUACAUGUUAUAUGUUCUAAUCAUAUGUUGUAGUUUGAACAAUGCAUAUAUGUUGAGUGUAAUUAUAUCUAUUGAUCAUGAAUAUGUUCAUUCAAAUAUAAACGCACAUACAUCAGAAUUUCAUAGAAAUUGUUGUGUAAUUAGAGUAAUAUAUGCAUAUUCGUGACAACAUUUUGAUAAAAGUAUUGGGUUGGCAACUAAGUGAUUGCGGAUUUUGUCAAUACCACCUAAUGACAAAAUCCAUAAUCAUUUAGUUGCUCAAUAAUAAUCCACAUGAAUGGAAUGAAUUCCAUGGAAUAAAUUCCCUUUGAAAAUUGCCUUUUUAAUAUGAAAUAGCAUAAAUAAACUUUCACAAGUAUUCCAUCGAUAUUACAUAUAAUUAAUAUUAUACAUAUAUAUAUUAUAUAUCAAUAAAUACCCAAUAGCACUCUAAAAUACGUUCGGGACGUGAAGGAUUAAAUGAAGCUUACGCAGCUUGCAAAUGACUUUAACAGAAAUAUCCAAAAGCUUCGCAACUUCCAAAUCAAAUACUUGGAAAAAACCUAACCUCAUUUCAUCCUCUUUUAAACGUCAAAUUAAACCGAAAACAAGACGUUUUCCUUACCCUGCAAUCUGUUUCUCACCAUCAAACCUCAUAGUUCCCCCUCAAACACAUUUUAAAAUCGCUCGUUCAGCACCCUUAUCUUCCUUCCCAAUCUCUUUCUCCUUUUAUUCGUCUGCAGGAAGAAAGAGAGAGAGAGAGAACGAAUCCCUAAUUUUACCCAAUUUUCUCCAAUUUUUCCGAAGGUAACUCUGGAAUCAGCCGAAGCAGAAAAGCGUGGCGCGCAUCAACCCGAGCCAGCUUUUAUAUUUCCUCGACGUUAGAUUGCGUUCCUCGACGUACGUAUGUAGGUCGUCGCGUUUCUUCUUGGCGUUCCAGCUUCAGAAAUUUUUAUUUAAGUCCCGUGGAAUCGAAUUAAGAUAGUCGCUCCCCGCCGUGACUCGUCGUUCAUUUGUUUACAUUUAUUCAUUCGUUUGUGUCUGGCAAUGAUGGAAGGUUUCGCGAUAUUUAUUUUAUUCAUUGCAGAUUGAUUCAACUGGCUGAAUCUUUCUUUUGUUUCCUUUCGAUGGCUUAAUCUCCCAAACAUCACAUGAUUAGUAUGGGCGAUAUUGUUUAUCGACUGGACUUCUGUGUAACUUGAUCAUCUUGGCCACGCCUUUGUUAUUCUACGAGUUUAUCUUCCCAUGUUGAACGAUAUCGAAUAAGCGAUGCUGGAUUAAACGAAGCUUCUGUUUGGUUUCAUUUGGUUUUUCCAUUAUUCUCGAUUAUUAUUGCCGUUGAUAAUUUUCUCACUGGUUUCUUAUUCCGUGGUUGUGUAUACUUAUAGAUCUACAGUUUACGGUAUUAAGAAUUGAAAACACGCAUUUAAGUUUGGUAGAAUUUUCAUAUGUUUAAUAUAAUUCCAAUGCAAUUUCGAUAUAGUAGGUGCAUGAUAUUUAUAGCAAAAAUAAAUCUCGUCAUCCUGAAUGGUUUUCUAGUCAGGUUCAAUUGGACUAUUGGGUUGGCAACUAAGUGUCACUUAUCACGCAAUCACUUAUUUUAAGAUCACCUAACCUCAACCUAAUCUCAAUACGUAGAAAGUAGCAGAAAAGAAGAAACUUGUAUAUGUUUAAAAUAUUUCAAUUAUAUGAUAUUUCGAAUGAAACUUCUAACCCUAACUCACUUCUAACCCUCAUUACCACCUAAUGACAAACUUCGCAAUCACAUAGUUACCAACCUAAUACUUUUAUGUACUUUUGCUUUUAGUAAACUAAUAUAAGAAUAAAAAGAUCCAUGUACUCUUUUUCACUAAAAAUACAUCAAUCAUUCAAUGUAAUUGAACCUGCAUAUUAAAUGAACCAUUAAUGAGAAUCCGCAAAAUUCUCAAGUAAUUCUAUAAAUUUUGUCGAUCUGAUAUCAUCGUUAAAAGUAAACGAUACGAAAUUUCUGAUUGCUGUCUGAUGAAAGAAAGCCGUGCGCUUGAAGUCACUUCGAUGUUAGGGAAAUAGAUGAAAAGAGGCGCGAACCGUAAUAUGGUGAAAGUUGGCAUAACUGAUGGAAGGAAGCAGACGAGAGCGGAAGUUAGUGGAAAAACCAAUGAAUGGAAGGAUUUAAUCGCGCGAUCUAGUUUCGUAGGCGAAGUGAAGUUGUUCGUGUUUCGAUGCCAGGUACAGCUGACGCUGACAAUUUAUCGAGCCCGUAGCUCCGAUUCGAAUACGCUCUCGGGUUAUUUCGUCUGCAAGUGUAAUAAAAAUGGAGGAAGAAGAAGGAAGUGAAAAGACGCGACAGAGACCUACCGAUACCGAUUCCUCUCCAUUUAGUCUUAUUUCUUCUCCAUUUUCAACUCGGUGCUCACUUUAACGCGCUGUCUCCGCGCGCCAAUUGCCAACACCUUUCUGCAGACUGCGCUCCGGGUUCUUUCGUUUGCAAGUCUAAUAAAAACCGAGAAAGAAGAAGAAGAAGGAGGAGGAGAAGGAGAAAAGAUAGGGAGAGAAAGAAAGGACGACAAGGGGAGACUUACGGUCCUCGUGGAACACAGAGGAAACGCGGCGCGUAAAUAGAGCGAAUAAAAGAGGUCGAGUUGAAAUGGGGCUGAAAAUUUGUAAAGAUGAGGAAAGGGUUUUUUUUCCAGUUAAUGAAGGUAAGCUUGGGCAAAGAGCUUGAAAGUUAAUUAAGAAAAGCCCGGAAGAAGCGAUUUUUUUCUCUCUUUUUCUUUUUUUUUUUCAACGUGAGCUUCACGAUCGUGCUUCGCUUUAUGCACCAAAGUUUCUUACGUUUUGCUACACCUUUUUUUGCUACUUGUUCCUCUUUUCUACUCUGGACAGAACAUAUGUACGCCAUUGAAACGUAAGGAUGUUUCUGUCUCCCUGUUUAUUAUAGAAACAUUUAUUCUCCUCA